GAUGAACGCUGGCGGCGUGCCUAAUACAUGCAAGUCGAACGCGAGAAGAGGGAGCUUGCUCCCUCUGAUCGAGUGGCGGACGGGUGAGUAACACGUAGGCGACCUGCCCAUCAGUCCAGGAUAACCGCGGGAAACCGUGGCUAAUACCGGAUGAUCCUCCCCACCGCGGGGUGGGGAGUUGAAAGACGGUUUCGGCUGUCGCUGCUGGAUGGGCCUGCGGCGCAUUAGCUGGUUGGCGGGGUAACGGCCCACCAAGGCAACGAUGCGUAGCCGACCUGAGAGGGUGAUCGGCCACACUGGGACUGAGACACGGCCCAGACUCCUACGGGAGGCAGCAGUAGGGAAUCUUCCGCAAUGGACGCAAGUCUGACGGAGCAACGCCGCGUGAGUGAAGAAGGGUUUCGGCUCGUAAAACUCUGUUGUUAAGGAAGAACGACAGGUAGAGUAACUGCUACCUGUGUGACGGUACUUAACCAGAAAGCCACGGCUAACUACGUGCCAGCAGCCGCCGCAGUAA
rnacentral:rRNA from 1 species